rnacentral:ncRNA from 1 species
ACUCUAGUCUGGCACUGUGAAGAGACAUGAGAGGUGUAGAAUAAGUGGGAGGCCCCGGCCGCCGGUGAAAUACCACUACUCUUAUUGUUUUUCGCGCCGGGUGCAACCCGCUCCGGGGACAGUGGCAGGUGGGGAUUUUGCCUGGGGCGGUACACUUGUCAAAUGGUAACGCAGGUGUCCUAAGGCGAGCUUAGGGAGGACAGAAAUUUCCUGUGGAGCAGAAGGGUAAAAGCUUGCUUGAUCUUGAAUACAGACCGUGAAAGUGGGGCCUCACGAUCCUUCUGAAUUUUUGGUCAAAGGGCUAUUUUUGGUCAAAUAGCCCUUACAUAGCCUGGAGUUGU